rnacentral:tRNA from 1 species
UUCCUGGUAGUCCAGUGGUUAAGAUGUCACACUUUCAAUGCAGGGGGCCCGGGUUCAAUCCCUGGUCAGGGAA